GGCCGAGUGGCGGAAUUGGCAGACGCACGGGACUUAAAAUCCCGUAUCGGGUAACCGGUGUGCGGGUUCGAUCCCCGCUUCGGCCA
rnacentral:tRNA from 1 species